rnacentral:rRNA from 1 species
CAUGCAAGUCGAACGAAACUUAGUGAACCUCGGUUUGCUAAGUUUAGUGGCGCACGGGUGCGUAACGCGUGGGAAUCUACCCCUAGCUGCGGAAUAACUCAGAGAAAUUUGAGCUAAUACCGCAUAAUGUCGCAAGACCAAAGAUUUAUCGGCAAGGGAUGAGCCCGCGUAAGAUUAGCUUGUUGGUGAGGUAAAAGCUCACCAAGGCGACGAUCUUUAGCUGGUCUGAGAGGAUGAUCAGCCACACUGGGACUGAGACACGGCCCAGACUCCUACGGGAGGCAGCAGUGGGGAAUAUUGGACAAUGGGCGCAAGCCUGAUCCAGCAAUGCCGCGUGAGUGAUGAAGGCCCUAGGGUUGUAAAGCUCUUUUACUAAGGAUGAUAAUGACAGUACCUAGAGAAUAAGCUCCGGCUAACUCCGUGCCAGCAGCCGCGGUAAUACGGAGGGAGCUAGCGUUGUUCGGAAUUACUGGGCGUAAAGCGCGCGUAGGCGGCUCGUCAAGUCAGGGGUGAAAGCCCGGGGCUCAACCCCGGAACUGCCUUUGAAACUAGCGAGCUAGAAUCUUGUAGAGGUUAGCGGAAUUCCGAGUGUAGAGGUGA